rnacentral:misc_RNA from 1 species
GCAAAACGCAGGGAGAAAGCUGUCCCUCUUUUCUUUGGUUUUUCUGGUCCACCCUAUGAAAAUAAAUCUAGGGUUUUUUCUUUAAUUCCAAUUCGAAUUUGGAUACGGCUUCUUCUUCUUCUUUUUCUUCUUUUUCUCUGAAUCCCCAGUUUCAUUCAAACAGUCGCAAAAGAUUCAUUAUGAAGGAAUCAAUCGAGCAGCAAUCCAACUCACCGGCGAAGAAAGCAGCGAUCCCGCCGUACAUGAAGGCGGUGUCGGGGUCGCUUGGCGGCAUCGUAGAGGCUUCUUGCUUGCAGCCGAUUGAUGUUAUUAAGACCAGGUUGCAGCUCGAUAGGACUGGCACCUACAAGGGAAUUAUCCACUGUGGGGCGACGGUCUCGCGAACUGAAGGCGUGCGGGCUUUGUGGAAGGGGUUGACUCCGUUCGCCACCCACUUGACUUUGAAAUAUGCGCUGCGCAUGGGAUCAAAUGCGGUACUGCAGACGGCGUUUAAGGACUCUGAGACCGGCAAGCUAAGCAAUCGAGGAAGAAUUCUCGCUGGAUUUGGUGCUGGGGUUCUUGAGGCUCUUGCUAUUGUUACGCCUUUUGAGGUGGUGAAAAUUAGACUACAGCAACAAAAAGGGUUGAGUCCUGAGCUCCUGAAGUACAAGGGUCCCAUACACUGUGCUCGUAUGAUCGUCCGUGAAGAAGGCUUGCUUGGGCUCUGGGCAGGCGCUGCUCCAACUGUUAUGCGCAAUGGGACAAACCAGGCAGCCAUGUUUACUGCAAAAAAUGCUUUUGAUGUAUUAUUGUGGAAGAAACAUGAAGGUGAUGGGAAAGUCCUCCAACCAUGGCAGUCCAUGAUAUCAGGAUUUCUAGCUGGAACAGCAGGUCCAGUGUGCACUGGGCCAUUUGAUGUGGUCAAAACAAGGCUAAUGGCUCAGAGUCGAGAGGGGGGCAAUCUGAAGUACAAAGGCAUGAUCCAUGCUAUCAGAACAAUAUAUGCUGAGGAAGGGCUUCUUGCCUUGUGGAAGGGACUGUUGCCCCGGCUGAUGAGAAUCCCACCUGGCCAGGCCAUAAUGUGGACUGUGGCUGACCAAAUUACUGGUCUCUAUGAGAGGAGAUAUAUACACAAUGCUCCCUUGUAGGUAAUGUUUACAUUGUUUUGCUUGUUCUGGUCUCUAGUCACCUAGCUAGGCCAUGACUGACUCAUGAGAGGAAGACAACUUUGGAGGUAUUUGCUUGCAUUGUUUUGCUUGUUCUGGUUUUAAAGUCCAUUGCAAGCGUGUAAUAAUAAAUUUCUUUAGUUUUUCUUCUUGAUUUGGUUGUUUAGAAGACACUGAAAUAUGAAAUGGAUAGCCGUAAUAAGCAAGAUUUCCUUAAACCUUUUCAAAUUUGUUACAGUUUCAGUGAUGCAGUAGGAGGAUACGCUUGCAUCCUGAAGCCAAGGUUCUAGUCUGACCUACUAGCACUUGUUGAUGCCUUGGUUUAAUUCUUGUUUGCCAUAUGAGGGGUAAUUCUUUUGGGGUUUCUUUAUUUUGUUCAAGCAAAUAGCAUGCUUUCUGUUUGCUAAAUGAGAAGGUGGACAUAAAAUCAUUCAGUAAACUGUUUAUUCAGUAAAUUGUUUGUUUGGUGUCACAAUCUUAAGGAGGACCCUCCUUUACUUUGUGCAAGUUGUCAAUAUGAUAACUUCAUCCUGAACUCUCAUGGCAUUAAAAGACAAAAAUCAAUAGUCUUGAUGCACUUGACAUAUCUGAGCCUGCAUUGUUCUUCUGCAUUGAAUUCCUGGCUGCUGCAAUAGCCAGACUGCUAACAUAUUUCCUUUCAUAUACUGUGUUUUUUGGGGUUAACCUAAAUGGAAAUUUUCUGUUUGUGUGUGAUUGACCAAUUUGCAACCCUUUACUGACUUUACUAACACGGUGGAGCUAUUAUCAAUGAAUUCAAUAGCACAUAAGUUAGGCUCAUAUGAGGUUGUCAUUCUCCCAAAUAACAAUAUGUAAAUGUAUGAUGUGUUAUCAAAUAACAAUAUGUGAAUAUCUGAUGUGUAACACCCCUAAUUUUUAAAUU